AACCCAAAUUAAUAAAUACACGGCGUAAAAGUGUUUUAGGAAUUACCAAAAAUAAGACUAAACUUCACCUAAGUCGUAAAAAACUCCAGAUGAAUUUAAAUUCACAAACGAAAGUAGUCUUAAUUCACCUGAGCACACGAAAGCUAGGACACAAACUGGGAUUAGAUACCCCACUAUGCCUAACCAUAAACAUAAAAAUUUUUCAACAAAAAUUUUUGCCAGAGAACUACUAGCAACAGCUUAAAACUCAAAGGACUUGACGGUGCUUACACCCACCUAGAGGAGCCUGUUCUGUAAUCGAUAAACCCCGAUCUACCUCACCGUUUCUUGCUAAUU
rnacentral:rRNA from 1 species